GGAAAAUUGCGAAAACUUUGAAUGUGCCACCAAAGUUUUUAUAAACUGCCGACUGGAAAAACUGAGCUUUUAUUAGGACAAAAGUGAAUACAGACGUGAGGAAUCAUCAGGGAGAGACUGUGGGAUCCUAAGCUAACGAUAUGUUCAACGUUAUUUGCAGCAAGCAUUUUUGUUACAAAGUCAACUAUGUCUGCUCGGCUCUGGAUUUUCUGUGUUCUGGUGCAGCAGCUUCGUCUUCGUCAGGCCAGCCGGGUCUGUGAUGUCUGAGACCGGUUGAAGGUCUGGCGAGCGCCGGCAGACGGUUUCAGGCGAACUUGCUCCGGCAGACUCUGGUUGACAGUCAGCAGCUGUUUAAACUUCUUUUGGAGCUCAGCCAGCUUCUUCUGCUUCGCCACAAUCUUCAGCUCGGC